AACGAACGCUGGCGGCAUGCCUAACACAUGCAAGUCGAACGAGACCUUCGGGUCUAGUGGCGCAAGGGUGCGUAACGCGUGGGAACCUGCCCUUAGGUUCGGAAUAACUCCCCGAAAGGGGUGGUAAUACCGGAUAAUGUCUUCGGACCAAUGAUUUAUCGCCAUUGGUUGGGCCCGCGUUGGAUUAGCUAGUUGGUAGGGUAAAAGCCUACCAAGGCGACGAUCCAUAGCUGGUCUGAGAGGAUGAUCAGCCACACUGGGACUGAGACACGGCCCAGACUCCUACGGGAGGCAGCAGUGGGGAAUAUUGGACAAUGGGCGAAAGCCUGAUCCAGCAAUGCCGCGUGAGUGAUGAAGGCCUUAGGGUUGUAAAGCUCUUUUACCCGGGAUGAUAAUGACAGUACCGGGAGAAUAAGCUCCGGCUAACUCCGUG
rnacentral:rRNA from 1 species